GACCUUUCUCAGUCCUUUGGCUAACAUAAGUGUAAUAUUUGUUCUUAUCAGUUUAAUAUAUGAUAUGUGGACCAUAUGUUCACUCUGAUAUUAAAUAUACUACUAGUUAGGUGUCCGUUCUACGAUUU
rnacentral:snRNA from 1 species